GUACCUGACUAAGAAGCACCGGCUAAGUACGUGCCACCACCCGCGGUAAUACGUAUGGUGCAAGCGUUAUCCAGAUUUACUGGGUGUAAAGGGAGCGCAAGCGGAAGGCUAAGUCUGAUGUGAAAGCCCGGGGCUCAACCCCGGUACUGCAUUGGAAACUGGUCAUCUACAGUGUCGGAUGGGUAAGUGGAAUUCCUAGUGUAUCGGUGAAAUGCGUAGAUAUUACGAGGAACACCAGUGGAGAAGGCGGCUUACUGGACGAUAACUGACGCUGAAGCUCGAAAGCGUGGGAUGCAAACAGGAUUAGAUACCCUGGUAGUGCACGCCGUAAACGAUGAAUACUAGGUGUCGGAAAGCACAGCUUUUCGGUGCCGCAGCAAACGCAUUAAGUAUUCCACAUGGGGAGUACGUUGGCAAGAAUGAAACUCAAAGGAAUUGUCGGGGACCCGCACAAGCGGUGGAGCAUGUGGUGUAAUUUGAAGCAACGCGAAGAACUUUACCAAGUCUUGACAUCCCGGUGACCGGACAGUAAUGUGUCCUUUUAUUCGGAACACCGGUGACAGGUGGUGCAUGGUUGUCGUCAGCUCGUGUCGUGAGAUGUUGGGUUAAGUCCCGCAACGAGCGCAACCGUUAUCCCCAGUAUCCAGCGGUUCGGCCGGGCACUCUGAGGAGUCUGCCAGGGAUAACGUGGAGGAAGGUGGGGAAGACGUCAAAUCAUCAUGCUCAUUAUGACCUGGGCUUCACACGUGCUACAAUGGUGUAAACAAAGGGAAGCGAGACCGUGAGGUGGAGCAAAUCCCAAAAAUAACGUAUCAGUUUGGAAUGUAGUAUGCAACCCGACUACACGAAGUUGGAAUCGUUAGUAAUCGCAGAUCAGAAUGUUGCGGUGAAUACGUUCCCGGGUCUUGUACACACCGCCCGUCACACCAUGGGAGUCGGAAAUGCCGGAAGUCAGUGACCCAACCGCAAGGAGGGAGCUGCCGAAGGCAGGUUCGAUAACUGGGGUG
rnacentral:rRNA from 1 species